ACAUGAACAGCAGACAUGUUUGACGGGUUUUGACAGGCGACAGAUCAGAAUACAUUAUAGGUUUUCACACACUCUUGUUGACCACCGGCAUUGUUUACGCUCGUGUACCACAUACAGGGGCGUUGUUUGCAAUGACAUAAUGAACUUUAUGAAGUAAAUCAUUUCAAAACGU
rnacentral:lncRNA from 1 species